UAAAAUUUUAAGUUAAGUUAAACUAAUAAUCUUCAAAAUUAUAAUUAAAUUUAUAAGUUUAAAUUUUAA
rnacentral:tRNA from 1 species